rnacentral:rRNA from 1 species
AACGAACGCUGGCGGCAUGCCUAACACAUGCAAGUCGAACGAGACCUUCGGGUCUAGUGUCGCACGGGUGCGUAACGCGUGGGAACCUGCCCUUAGGUUCGGAAUAACUCCCCGAAAGGGGUGCUAAUACCGGAUAAUGUCUUCGGACCAAAGAUUUAUCGCCUUUGGAUGGGCCCGCGUUGGAUUAGCUAGUUGGUAGGGUAAAAGCCUACCAAGGCGACGAUCCAUAGCUGGUCUGAGAGGAAGAUCAGCCACACUGGGACUGAGACACGGCCCAGACUCCUACGGGAGGCAGGAGUGGGGAAUAUUGGAAAAUGGGCGAAAGCCUGAUCCAGCAAUGACGCGUGAGUGAUGAAGGCAUUAGGGUUGUAAAGCUCUUUUACCCGGGAUGAUAAUGACAGUACCGGGAGAAUAAGCUCCGGCUAACUCCGUG